rnacentral:lncRNA from 1 species
AGAUUUCAGGAUAAGUUACCCCCAGGCCCGAAGCCCCAGCUUGCCCUGGCCUGUGCCUGCCUCAGGUGCCAGCUAGAUGUCUCGCUCCACCUGGGUCUGGGACCUGGCUCCACACCAGUUACCUGGGACCAGUAGGUGCCCUUCCAGCCUGAAGAUCUGGGGGCACAGUAUAGCCACAUGAGCCCCAAGUGUGGUCCUGAACUGGGGCCGGGUGGGGAAGAGUGAGAUGGGAUAACAUAGCCCCUGCUUGGAGGCCCUUCUCUGAUGGGGUGACAUAAUCCCUUCCUCCUGGGAAACACCAGCUUUUGGGGUGAUAGCACUUUCAGGCAGGAGCUAUGGUUCCUUCCUCAGGAGGCCUCCAAUCUGAUGGGGAAGACAUGGCCCCUCCCCCUGGGGAGUGCCCUGUGUGAUGGAGGCGAUACAGCCCCUACCUUCAGAGAGCACCUGGCCUGCAGCUCAUCCAAACCUGAGUCUCCUCUCCCUUGGAGGCCUCAUUCCAGCGCCCCAAGGAGGAUUCAAACUGUUGGGGCUGGAAGAACUUGGUGGCCUGGGUCCCUGGAGCCCUGUUGAAGGAGCUGGUGACAUUCUGAUGCUGGAGGCAGGUGACGGGGAGCACAGACUUUGUGUCCUGCACACUGAGCUCCAAGUGUGCCCCAGCCACUGAGCCUUGUGACUUGAGCAGAUGUCCGAAGCCGUUUCUUCAUCCCAUGAGACCAACAACACUGUCUGCCUCAGAACAUAGCCGUGAUCAAGAUGAGCACGGAGGCUCGUGUCCCAGCACCUGGCACACAGUCAUGGGAUGGCAGGAUGCUUGUCUCCAGGUGUGGCCUGAAGGGAAAAGUGUGGACAGUUUGGUGUGAUCAAGGAAAUGGAACCACGCUUACCAGUUGCCCUUGUCCAGGAAGGGCUGGCUCCCUUAGGACGCCCACAUGGAGCAUGAGGUUGGGCCAGGCACCCCCAGAGGUCCCCGCCUUGGCAGGUUCUGUUUUACCUGUUGAACGAGACACUGUAUGGGGAAGUGACAUGCGCAGUGCCUGGCCCAGUGCUGUGCACACACGCUGCUUCGCUUCCUCAGGUUCCGGGGAUGGGAUGGGACAGAAAAGCUGGUUGCUUAGCUGGUGGCGUUCUCCAGCAAAGCAGAAGGGAUGGUCCUGGCAGCCCUGUGCCGAGCACUGGACCCCGCGCCCUCCCUGGCUCUCUCAGCCCCAAGGUCCCAUUAGUUAUCAAACCUGGUUUUUUGUUUUUGUUUUGAGACAGAGUCACUCCGUCACCCAGGCUGGAGUGCAGUGGUACGAUCUUGGCUUACUGCAGCCUCCACCUCCUGGGCUCAAGUGAUCCUCCCACUUGAGUGCCACCACGCCCAGCUAGUUUUUGUAUUUUUGGUAGAGAUGGGGUUUCGCCAUGUUGCCCAGCAGGCUGUUCUCAAACUCCUAAGCUCAAGUGAUCCUCCCACCUCAGCCUCCCAAAUUUGCUGGGAUUCCAGGGUUUUGAAGCCACAGCCAAGACGACAUGGCCUUCCAUUCCUGAAGCCGAGGAAGGGGAGAAAGCCACAACCUUCACCACUCUCCACCCUUUCUGUCUGUGUGACUUGGCUUUCAUCGGAGCUGAAUGACGGGACCCCAGAGGUGCCGGGUGACAGCCAGGUGCAGAGCCUCAACUACCCCAGAUGGUAAAGCUUUAAACUGAUCCACUGGCCAGGUGAGGCGACUCAUGCCUGGAAUCCCAACACUUUGGGAGGCUGAGGCAGGUGGAUUGCGUAAGCUGAGUUCAAGACCAGCCUGGGCAACGUGGUGGUGUGCACCUGUAGACCUAGCUACCUGGGAGGUUAAGGUGGGAGGAUUGCUUGGGCCCUGGAGGUCAAGGCUGCAGUGAGUCAAGACAGCACCACUGCACUCCAGCCUGGGUGACAGAGACCUUGUCUCAAACAAAACAAAACAAAACAAAACAAAACAAAACAAAACACAGGAAAACCUGGAUCUGCUUAGCAUUGGCCCUAGGGCAGGGAGUGGGUUACCUUCCACCGUGGAUUAACUCAGUUCAACUGAUAACUACUCCUCCAGGCCCCCAGCCUGGGACAGCCCUGGGGACACAGUCACCCAGUAGCAGCACUGUGCCCAGCACAGGUAAGCACUCAAUAAUGACGACGGUUACUAAGUACUCCACCCCCACCAAACAGUAGGCAGAGACUGUCUCUCCUGUUGGCCAUCAUAACCCCAGUACUCAGUAGGCGCUGAAUGUUUGGUGAAUGAGUAAGUGAAGGGAAAGCUGAGGCACCAACCCUCAGGGAGCCCUCAGUCUGGUGGAUGUAACCAACAACCACAGAACUACAGAACUGUAUACUUUAGAUACAUGAAUUGUGUGGUAUGUGAAUUAUAUCUCAAAGCCAUUUGAAAAAAUACCAAAUGUGCCAUUAAGAUUUGGAUGGGAAGUUAUGGGUAAUGAGAAUAUAAUGACAUCUUG